GACGAACGCUGGCGGCGUGCUUAACACAUGCAAGUCGAACGGAAAGGCCCUGCUUGCAGGGUACUCGAGUGGCGAACGGGUGAGUAACACGUGGGUGAUCUGCCCUGCACGUCGGGAUAAGCCUGGGAAACUGGGUCUAAUACCGGAUAGGAGCCAUUUUUAGUGUGAUGGUUGGAAAGUUUUUUUCGGUGUAGGAUGAGCUCGCGGCCUAUCAGCUUGUUGGUGGGGUAAUGGCCUACCAAGGCGGCGGCGGGUAGCCGGCCUGAGAGGGUGGACGGCCACAUUGGGACUGAGAUACGGCCCAGACUCCUACGGGAGGCAGCAGUGGGGAAUAUUGCACAAUGGGCGCAAGCCUGAUGCAGCGACGCCGCGUGGGGGAUGACGGCCUUCGGGUUGUAAACUCCUUUCGCUAGGGACGAAGCUUUUUGUGACGGUACCUAGAUAAGAAGCACCGGCUAACUACGUG
rnacentral:rRNA from 1 species